GACGAACGCUGGCGGCGUGCCUAAUACAUGCAAGUCGAACGAACAGCGAGAAGAACUUGUUCUUUUCAACGUUAGUGGCGCACGGGUGAGUAACACGUGGGAAACCUGCCCUUUAGUGGGGGAUAACAGUCGGAAACGACUGCUAAUACCGCAUAGACAAUUUAAUCGCCUGAUUAAAUUGGGAAAGAUGCUUCGGCAUCACUAAAGGAUGGUCCCGCGGUGCAUUAGCUAGUUGGUAAGGUAACGGCUUACCAAGGCGAUGAUGCAUAGCCGACCUGAGAGGGUGAUCGGCCACAUUGGGACUGAGACACGGCCCAA
rnacentral:rRNA from 1 species